UGUUAUAGUUCUUCAAGCUUCAGAAUGAGCUGCAUUUGGAAAACAUCAUGUUGCACAGAUUCAUUAUUCAGCAUAUUUAAAGCAUUCUAAUAAAAGCACAGAGACAGACAAACAGAGAAAGAGAGAGAGAGAGAAUAAGAUACUUCAUCAAAAUGUAUUUUUUAUUCAUUGUCUCAGCAGGCAGUUGUCAGAAUGCUGUGAUCCUUCAACGAAUGCUUAUAUUUUAAUUAUGAUUUAUGGGUUUGUGAGAAGAACAAAAGUAAUUUCCCUUUUUAGUAAUUGCUUAUCAACAAUUUCCUACGAAUCCUCCGCAUCACCAAUUACACAGCUGUCUGAUUCAAUAAUGAUGCCAUUAAAGAUGUUUUGAAUGA